rnacentral:rRNA from 1 species
GGAAGGGGUGUAUUUAUUAGAUAAAAAACCAACGCCCUUCGGGGCUUCUUGGUGAUUCAUGAUAACUUCACGGAUCGCAUGGCCUUGCGCCGGCGACGAUUCAUUCAAAUUUCUGCCCUAUCAACUUUCGAUGGUAAGGUAUUGGCUUACCAUGGUUUCAACGGGUAACGGGGAAUUAGGGUUCGAUUCCGGAGAGGGAGCCUGAGAAACGGCUACCACAUCCAAGGAAGGCAGCAGGCGCGCAAAUUACCCAAUCCCGACACGGGGAGGUAGUGACAAUAAAUACUGAUACAGGGCUCUUUUGGGUCUUGUAAUUGGAAUGAGUACAAUUUAAACCUCUUAACGAGGAACAAUUGGAGGGCAAGUCUGGUGCCAGCAGCCGCGGUAAUUCCAGCUCCAAUAGCGUAUAUUAAAGUUGUUGCAGUUAAAAAGCUCGUAGUUGAAACUUGGGCCUGGCUGGCAGGUCCGCCUCACCGCGUGUACUUGUCCGGCCGGGCCUUUCCUUCUGGAGAGCCUCAUGCCCUUCACUGGGUGUGUUGGGGAACCAGGACUUUUAC